UACGGAGGGUGCGAGCGUUGUCCGGAAUCACUGGGCGUAAAGGGCGCGUAGGCGGCCUGGCAAGUCGGUGGUGAAAGCUCGGGGCUCAACCUCGAGACGCCGGUGGAAACCAUCAGACUAGAGUCCGGAAGAGGAGAGCGGAAUUCCUGGUGUAGCGGUGAAAUGCGCAGAUAUCAGGAGGAACACCGGUGGCGAAGGCGGGACUCUGGGCCGAUACUGACGCUGAGGAGCGAAAGCGUGGGGAGCGAACAGG
rnacentral:rRNA from 1 species